rnacentral:piRNA from 1 species
UCAUGAAAAAAUUUUUUAAUGAGUUGGGCU